rnacentral:misc_RNA from 1 species
GAUGAAGAACGUAGCGAAAUGCGAUAAGUAAUGUGAAUUGCAGAAUUCAGUGAAUCAUCGAAUCUUUGAACGCACAUUGCGCCCGCCAGUAUUCUCGCGGGCAUGCCUGUUCGAGCGUCAUUUCAACCAUCAAGCCCCCGGCUUGUGUUGGGGACCUGCGGCUGCCGCAGGCCCUGAAAAGCAGUGGCGGGCUCGCUGUCACACCGAGCGUAGUAGCAUACAUCUCGCUCUGGGCGUGCUGCGGGUUCCGGCCGUUAAACCACCUUCAUAACCCAAGGUUGACCUCGGAUCAGGUAGGAAGACCCGCUGAACUUAAGCAUAUCAAUAAGCGGAGGA